rnacentral:rRNA from 1 species
GUUGCUAACGCGUGAAGGCGAGCACUCUAGACGAACUGCCGUUGACAAAACGGAGGAAGUGGGAUGACGUCAAUCAUCAUGCCCCUUAUGUUCUGGGCUACACACGUGCUACAAUGGCCGGUACAGACGGACGCAAAGCCGCGAGGUGGAGCAAAUCCUAAAAAGCCGGUCUCAGUUCGGAUUGCAGGCUGCAAUUCGCCUGCAUGAAGUCGGAAUCGCUAGUAAUCGCAGGUCAGCAUACUGCGGUGAAUACGUUCCCGGGCCUU